GACGAACGCUGGCGGCGUGCUUAACACAUGCAAGUCGAACGGAAAGGCCCUGCUUUUGUGGGGUGCUCGAGUGGCGAACGGGUGAGUAACACGUGAGUAACCUGCCCUUGACUUUGGGAUAACUUCAGGAAACUGGGGCUAAUACCGGAUAGGAGCUCCUGCUGCAUGGUGGGGGUUGGAAAGUUUCGGCGGUUGGGGAUGGACGCGCGGCUUAUCAGCUUGUUGGUGGGGUAGUGGCUUACCAAGGCUUUGACGGGUAGCCGGCCUGAGAGGGUGACCGGCGACAUUGGGACUGAGGUACGGCCCAGACUCCUACGGGAGGCAGCAGUGGGGAGUAUUGCACAGUGGGCGGAAGCCUGAUGCAGCAACGCCGCGUGCGGGAUGACGGCCUUCGGGUUGUAAACCGCUUUCGCCUGUGACGAAGCGUGAGUGACGGUAAUGGGUAAAGAAGCACCGGCUAACUACGUG
rnacentral:rRNA from 1 species